rnacentral:lncRNA from 1 species
GAGCAAACCGUAUCACUUUAACCCAGAGAACGUAAAUUCCCGAGCUGACCCGAGACCAAACUCCACACACUCCCGUGUCUGAAUAAUUCCGCGCGGCGGCGUCGGCGGCGGCCUCCUUGCCGAAACUCCAGCGCCGCAAAGAAGAACCGCCGUGCGGAGAGCUUUGCUUCUUCCCUAUACUGCAGCGUCUUUUCCCACGAGAAUUCGAGGGUCGUUUUUCCGGCCGGCGCUCCUCCUCUUAUCGGCCGCCGAUAUCUCGGACAAUAUGUAUCCCGGACAAUCGAGGAUGUGUCCUCGGCGGCGGCUUCUUCUUCUUUCGUCCUCUUUCUCUUACCAAGUCUGAUCAGCAAAGUUGGCCAAAGUGCAGACACACACACACACACACGUGCGCGGAAGUUGCGGCGGUGGCUAUUGCCGCCUCGUGGCUAUCGGCGAAGUUUGCGCACUACGGAGAUGGGCUAACUUUGAUAAGAUACCGGUUUACUCUUGCCGCGAUUGAUUAUAUUUCUUCGCGUACGAGUGUGUGCGCCCCGGUCUCUCUCUCUCUCUCUCUCUCUCUCUCUCUCUCUACGAGAGAGCUUUUUACCUUACACACGUGUGAUUCAUUCGCUCAGCAGCUGAUUUACAAUAAUGGAUAGUCGCGGUGUCAGCUGCUGCGCGAAAGAAUUACAAAGUUGACUCGGCGCUGAAUUCCAUCAGCUGAGCUUAAAAUUUAACGAGCGCGGAGAGCUUCGGCUCGUGCCGUAAAAAAUGAAACAGCGAGCAUGCGCCUCUAACGAAAACAAAGUGGUCGCUAAUGCCUCGCGCCCCGCAUUAUUUACAAGCGUGUAGUAUAUAGUAAAUGAUAUAUUCACAAGUCUCCGCAAUCAUCAAUUUGGUAAGAAAGCAGCGGUCGCAGCCGCGUCGUCGCGCGUUAACUUUCGGGCGAGGCUUGAUUGAUAAUCAGGAGGUCGCAUAUGCUUGCACAGUGUACAGUAUACUGUAUGUACAUAGCGCAUACGUAUAUACACAUACACACACGCACACACACACACACACUUAUAGGUAUAUAAGAGGGGCUGGCCUGCAGCGAUGAGUUUGCGAUUAAACGCGAUUAUAAUUAAGGAUAAUGGAGUUUCGGCUUGGGAGUUCUCUCGGGCGUAUCUGCCGUCGCGCUAUGUCUUCUAUGGGGCGAAGCUUGCAGACAGCAAGCUCUCUCUAGCAAUCUAAGCUGCUGCUGCCGCUGCUGUCUCGGCGCAUCUGCGCAAGCUCUCGAGCGUACCGGUAUACGCUCUCGCUGAUGCUUGUGUGUACUAUGUAUGUAUGUGUAUAGCAGUAUAUACACGGGAGUUCCAAUAGGACGACACGGCAGCUGUAAAGCAAGUUCCACGGGGACAGCUUCGAUUCAGCUGUCCGCCGCUCGGUCUGUUGCUUUUUGCGCAGUCAAGCUUUGUCGCCGGUUAAUUAGGGAAUACUGUACACUGUGCGGCUGACUUAUAACGAAGAGCCAUACACGAGCUUGCGAACAAAAAUUUUCCGCGAAACGAUGUUACAUUUUAAUUGCGCACGCAGUAUCUAUCCUUCGAGUUGUCUCGAAGCUUGCUGCUAUGUACGGUAGUCCAUUUGUUUAUGCAAACAAUCUGAUUCAUCGUUAACAAACGAAAAAUAAAUAAUGAACUUCAUCAGCGCUGGCAAAGCACAAUGACGAUUCGUUCCCUAGCGAUGAGAAGAGAAAAAAAGAAAGAACCACCAAAAGGAAGCUGCUGCAGCAGUACUCGUAACCCAGUGUGCGCUUUCAACCUCAAUUCUUAUGCAUCGCACUGCGCACUCGCGCUUUUAUUAUUAUUUUCCAUGCGCAGCUCGUUCCAUUUUUCCUCCCUCGCAGUUAUUGACACGCAAAAAGUUGUAUUUUUAAUGAGUAUCCGCAGCUUCUUCUUUUAUCUCUACACACCAAGCGUGCUGGCUUUAAUAACGCGAGCUACAUACGUAUUCGCUUUAACGAGGGGCAGAGAGAGAGAGAGCGCGCGUCGUUUGAUUAUUGUCCAGCUGCCGGGGUGUAAUUGCACUCAUUGCACAGCGCCGCAGUUCUGAUCGUGUCUAGUGGCUGCGGUGGAGCGCAGCGGCCCGACUCUACACCUACAUACACUCGAUAAGUAAGCUCUUCUUCGUCUCUGUCUGUAUGUGUGUGUAUUCGUGAAAUCUCGUCGGCGCGACUUGGAAGAGAGAACGCGCCAAGUUUUCGAUGGAAUUUCCAAGUGUGCGAGUGUAUACGCUGCAGCGAGCGAGCUGAGUUAGUAAUAUAACCGGAGUCUUGGCCAGACAGUUGUCUUUCCAAUUAUCUUUAAACAACCAAUUAGUCGCGGUUCGCUGUCCUGACGGUUUAACUAAAUGUCUGGAUUUUUUUCUUUGAAAACGCAUCAACGUCUUGACAUUCGGAGUAUAAAAGGGAAGAGUCAACGGUAAGUGUAAAAUUACUUGACAAUAUAUAUAUAAUUAGCCUACGAACCGUAUUCGAACGAUUAUCUUAUAAAUAUCACUAUAUAGUUAUGCCUUACACUGUAUUACAGAAGACCAUCUCGGUAGGAAAACAUUUUUAUGCGAUUACGUUCGCCACCGU